rnacentral:rRNA from 1 species
UGCCAGCCGCCGCGGUAAGACGAGGGGCCCGAGCGUUAAUCGGAAUCACUGGGCUUAAAGGGUACGUAGGCGGAUGUGUAGGUGUCAUGUGAAAUCCCUCGGCUCAACCGGGGAACUGCACGGCAAACCACAUGUCUUGAGGCAGGUAGAGGUCGUCGGAACGAUAGGUGGAGCGGUGAAAUGCGUAGAUAUCUAUCGGAACGCCAACGGUGAAGACAGACGACUGGGCCUGUUCUGACGCUGAGGUACGAAAGCGUGGGGAGCGAACGGGAUUAGAUA